AAGUCGUAACAAGGUUUCCGUAGGUGAACCUGCGGAAGGAUCAUUAUCCAUCUCACCAGGUGUGGUUGCGGCCUCCAGGGGCGUGGGCGUCUUCUGGCGUCCUCUCUCCCGGGCGGUAGGGGUAACACCCUCACGCGCCACAUUUCUGAAUCCUUUUUUUACGAGCACCUUUCGUUCUCCUUCGGUGGGGCAACCUGCCGCUGGAACCUAUCAAACUCUUUUGCAUCUAGCAUUACCUGUUCUGAUACAAAUAAUCGUUACAACUUUCAACAAUGGAUCUCUUGGCUCUG
rnacentral:misc_RNA from 1 species